GUAAGGAAUAUUGGUCAAUGGGCGCAAGCCUGAACCAGCCAUGCCGCGUGCAGGAAGACGGCCCUACGGGUUGUAAACUGCUUUUACAGGGGAAUAAACCCUUCUUUGCGAAGGAGGCUGAAUGUACCCUGGGAAUAAGGAUCGGCUAACUCCGUGCCAGCAGCCGCGGUAAUACGGAGGAUCCGAGCGUUAUCCGGAUUUAUUGGGUUUAAAGGGUGCGCAGGCGGCCUGCUAAGUCAGGGGUGAAAUCGGAUGGCUCAACCAUCCCAGUGCCUUUGAUACUGGCGGGCUUGAAUGCAGCUGAGGUAGGCGGAAUGUGGCAAGUAGCGGUGAAAUGCAUAGAGAUGCCACAGAACACCGAUUGCGAAGGCAGCUUACCAAAGUGCGAUUGACGCUCAGGCACGAAAGCGUGGGGAUCAAACAGG
rnacentral:rRNA from 1 species